UACGUAGGGGGCUAGCGUUAUCCGGAAUUACUGGGCGUAAAGGGUGCGUAGGUGGUUUCUUAAGUCAGAGGUGAAAGGCUACGGCUCAACCGUAGUAAGCCUUUGAAACUGGGAAACUUGAGUGCAGGAGAGGAUAGUGGAAUUCCUAGUGUAGCGGUAAAAUGCGUAGAUAUUAGGAGGAACACCAGUGGCGAAGGCGAUUCUCUGGACUGUAACUGACGCUGAGGCUCGAAAGCGUGGGGAGCAAACAGGAUUAGAUACCCCGGUAGUCCCUGAGCGGGCU
rnacentral:rRNA from 1 species